rnacentral:rRNA from 1 species
GACGGGGGGGGCAAGUGUUCUUCGGAAUUACUGGGCGUAAAGGGCACGUAGGCGGUGAAUCGGGUUGAAAGUGAAAGUCGCCAAAAAGUGGCGGAAUGCUCUCGAAACCAAUUCACUUGAGUGAGACAGAGGAGAGUGGAAUUCCUGGUGUAGCGGUGAAAUGCGCAGAUAUCAGGAGGAACACCGAUGGCGAAGGCAGGUCUCUGGGCCACUACUGACGCUGAGAAGCGAAAGCAUGGGGAGCGAACAGG